rnacentral:rRNA from 1 species
AUGGGAAACAGGUUAAUAUUCCUGUACUUGGUGUUACUGCGAAGGGGGGACGGAGAAGGCUAUGUUGGCCGGGCGACGGUUGUCCCGGUUUAAGCGUGUAGGCUGGUUUUCCAGGCAAAUCCGGAAAAUCAAGGCUGAGGCGUGAUGACGAGGCACUACGGUGCUGAAGCAACAAAUGCCCUGCUUCCAGGAAAAGCCUCUAAGCAUCAGGUAACAUCAAAUCGUACCCCAAACCGACACAGGUGGUCAGGUAGAGAAUACCAAGGCGCUUGAGAGAACUCGGGUGAAGGAACUAGGCAAAAUGGUGCCGUAACUUCGGGAGAAGGCACGCUGAUAUGUAGGUGAAGCGACUUGCUCGUGGAGCUGAAAUCAGUCGAAGAUACCAGCUGGCUGCAACUGUUUAUUAAAAACACAGCACUGUGCAAACACGAAAGUGGACGUAUACGGUGUGACGCCUGCCCGGUGCCGGAAGGUUAAUUGAUGGGGUUAGCGCAAGCGAAGCUCUUGAUCGAAGCCCCGGUAAACGGCGGCCGUAACUAUAACGGUCCUAAGGUAGCGAAAUUCCUUGUCGGGUAAGUUCCGACCUGCACGAAUGGCGUAAUGAUGGCCAGGCUGUCUCCACCCGAGACUCAGUGAAAUUGAACUCGCUGUGAAGAUGCAGUGUACCCGCGGCAAGACGGAAAGACCCCGUGAACCUUUACUAUAGCUUGACACUGAACAUUGAGCCUUGAUGUGUAGGAUAGGUGGGAGGCUUUGAAGUGUGGACGCCAGUCUGCAUGGAGCCGACCUUGAAAUACCACCCUUUAAUGUUUGAUGUUCUAACGUUGACCCGUAAUCCGGGUUGCGGACAGUGUCUGGUGGGUAGUUUGACUGGGGCGGUCUCCUCCUAAAGAGUAACGGAGGAGCACGAAGGUUGGCUAAUCCUGGUCGGACAUCAGGAGGUUAGUGCAAUGGCAUAAGCCAGCUUGACUGCGAGCGUGACGGCGCGAGCAGGUGCGAAAGCAGGUCAUAGUGAUCCGGUGGUUCUGAAUGGAAGGGCCAUCGCUCAACGGAUAAAAGGUACUCCGGGGAUAACAGGCUGAUACCGCCCAAGAGUUCAUAUCGACGGCGGUGUUUGGCACCUCGAUGUCGGCUCAUCACAUCCUGGGGCUGAAGUAGGUCCCAAGGGUAUGGCUGUUCGCCAUUUAAAGUGGUACGCGAGCUGGGUUUAGAACGUCGUGAGACAGUUCGGUCCCUAUCUGCCGUGGGCGCUGGAGAACUGAGGGGGGCUG